GGCAGAUAUGUAUAUGUUGCUUGGCACUCCCUUUGACACUUCAAGCAAUAUAGGCUGUUAUGGGUUCCAAAUCCCAUCUACUCUGAUGAUUACAACAUACUCUAUAUACCCCUCCCCUUUCUGUAUCCCCUCCAUUUCUCUCCCAAAUCUAUGUCCCUAUUUGUCUGUCUCCACUUAUGUCUCUACCUAUUUGUGCCCAUCACCAGAUCCAUUUGCU